UACGUAGGGGGCAAGCGUUGUCCGGAAUCAUUGGGCGUAAAGAGCGCGUAGGCGGCCCUGUAAGUCCGCUGUGAAAGUCAAGGGCUCAACCCUUGAAUGCCGGUGGAUACUGCAGGGCUAGAGUCCGGAAGAGGCGAGUGGAAUUCCUGGUGUAGCGGUGAAAUGCGCAGAUAUCAGGAGGAACACCUGAGGUGAAGACGGGUUGCUGGGCUGACACUGACGCUGAGGCGCGAAAGCUAGGGUAGCAAACGGG
rnacentral:rRNA from 1 species